UGGGGCCUGACUGCGGCCGCCCCGUCAGGCAAUCGCCCAAGUGCCGA
rnacentral:ncRNA from 1 species